rnacentral:rRNA from 1 species
CCUACGGGUGGCAGCAGUGAGGAAUAUUGGUCAAGGGGCGCGAGCCUGAACCAGCCAAGUCGCGUGAGGGAAGACGGUCCUAUGGAUUGUAAACCUCUAUUGUCGGGGAGCAAAAGACGCCACGCGGGGCGUUCCGAGAGUACCCGAAGAAAAAGCAUCGGCUAACUCCGUGCCAGCAGCCGCGGUAAUACGGUGGAUGCGAGCGUUAUCCGGAUUUAUUGGGUUUAAAGGGUGCGCAGGCGGAAGAUCAAGUCAGCGGUCACAUUGAGAGUCUCACCCUCUUCGAGCCGUUGAAACUGGGUUUCUUGUGUGAGCGCGAAGUAUGCGGCAUGCGUGGUGUCGCGG